AUUGAACGCUGGCGGCAGGCCUAACACAUGCAAGUCGAGCGGGAACUUCGGUUCUAGCGGCGGACGGGUGAGUAAUGCGUAGGAAGCUACCCGACAGAGGGGGAUACCAGUUGGAAACGACUGUUAAUACUGCAUAAUGUCUACGGACCAAAGUGUGGGACCUUCGGGCCACAUGCUGUCGGAUGCGCCGACGUGGGAUUAGCUAGUUGGUGAGGUAAUGGCUCACCAAGGCGACGAUCCCUAGCUGGUUUGAGAGGAUGAUCAGCCACACUGGAACUGAGACACGGUCCAGACUCCUACGGCAGGCAGCAGUGGGGAAUAUUGGACAAUGGGCGAAAGCCUGAUCCAGCCAUGCCGCGUGUGUGAAGAAGGCCUUCGGGUUGUAAAGCACUUUCAGUAGGGAGGAAGAGUUGAGUGUUAAUAGUACUCAGCUUUGACGUUACCUACAGAAGAAGCACCGGCUAACUCUGUGCCAGCAGCCGUCGUAAAAC
rnacentral:rRNA from 1 species